CCUUAAUGUGGUGAUAGUGCAGCCGUUUUCAUCUCGUUUUGCAUGAGAUUAAGAUUAUCACAUAUUCACGGGCAAGCUAAUCAUAAUUAUAUUCCCAAUCAUGUUUCAUACCCAUUUAGCCUUUUAUCAAUUUCACAUCAUCAUGUAUAUUCAUCUCACGUGGUAAUUGAUUAUGAAAUAUUUAAUCAGAUUUCAUGAGUAUUCGUCUUCAACCUUACCCGCAUGCUAGUCGAAGCAACCAGAUCGUUGUAAGCCUGUAUCCGAAUCUCAUUUUUACACGAUAUCUGAAAUAUCAUUAUUAUUUCGGAAAGUCAAUAUUAACUGGAGCAGAUUGAUCGUGAAAGAUCGCAAUUCAAGAUGAAGGAGCUCAAGUGUUAUCGUAUAGUCUUUUAUGACAGUUUAAUACUUUUCAGUUGUAAAUAGACCACCUAGUAAUCGAGUUGUAAUAGUUUAAGUUUUGUAAGCCUUAGCACUCGACAAUGUGAUCAAGUGUGGCGGUGAUGCCUCCGAUUUAGGUGUAAGCUUCCGCAAUAUUUAAAAGUAUGUAUUAUUUCUUAUUUAUUUAAAGUUAGUAAA